rnacentral:rRNA from 1 species
UGAGUACGAGCUGCUACGGCAGCGAAGUGGGUGACGUCAAGCUUCCAAGAAAAGCCCUACACCCGUUAAGGCAUGAUGGCCUGUACCCGAAACCGACACAGGUAGGAUGGUAGAGAAUACCGAGGGGCGCGAGGUAACUCUCUCUAAGGAACUCGGCAAAAUGGCCGUAACUUCGGGAGAAGGGGUGCCACCGUAAGGUGGUCGCAGUGAAGAGGCCCAGGCGACUGUUUACCAAAAACACAGGUCUCCGCUAAGUCGCAAGACGAUGUAUGGGGGCUGACGCCUGCCCAGUGCCGGAAGGUUAAGGAAGCUGGUCAGCGUAAGCGAAGCUAGCGACUGAAGCCCCGGUGAACGGCGGCCGUAACGAUAACGGUCCUAAGGUAGCGAAAUUCCUUGUCGGGUAAGUUCCGACCCGCACGAAAGGCGUAACGAUCUGGGCGCUGUCUCGGAGAGAGGCUCGGCGAAAUAGAAUUGUCUGUGAAGAUGCGGACUACGUGCACCCGGACAGAAAGACCCUAUGAAGCUUUACUGUAGCUUGGUAUUGUGCCCGGGCUCUGAAUGCGCAGGAUAGGUGGGAGGCUUUGAUCAGCAGCUUGUGGGUUGUUGUGAGCCAACGGUGAGAUACCACUCUUUCAGAGCUAGGGUUCUAACGGUCACCCGUUAUCCGGGGACCGGACAGUAUCAGGUGGGCAGUUUGACUGGGGCGGUCGCCUCCUAAAAGGUAACGGAGGCGCGCAAAGGUUUGCUCAGGCUGGUUGGAAAUCAGCCGACGAGUGUAAAAGCAGAAGCAAGCUUGACUGUGAGACCUACAAGUCGAACAGGGACGAAAGUCGGCUUUAGUGAUCCGACGGUUCUGAGUGGAAGGGCCGUCGCUCAACGGAUAAAAGUUACUCUAAGGAUAACAGGCUGAUCUCCCCCAAGAGUUCACAUCGACGGGGAGGUUUGGCACCUCGAUGUCGGCUCAUCGCAACCUGAGGCUGAAGUCGGUCCCAAGGGUUGGGCUGUUCGCCCAUUAAAGCGGUACGCGAGCUGGGUUCAGAACGUCGUGAGACAGUUCGGUCCAUAUCCGGUGCAUGCGCAGGAAUAUUGAGAGGAGUUCUCCCUAGUACGAGAGGACCGGGAGGAACGCACCUCUGGUGUACCAGUUAUCGUGCCAACGGUAAACGCUGGGUAGCCAUGUGCGGAGAGGAUAACCGCUGAAAGCAUCUAAGUGGGAAGCCCACCUCAAGAUGAGUAUUCCCAUGGCAUAAGCCAGUAAGGUCACGGGAAGAACACCCGUUGAUAGGCUCUACGUGGAAGCGCAGCAAUGCGUGAAGCGGAGGAGUACUAAUAGACCGAGGGCUU